rnacentral:rRNA from 1 species
AUUGAACGCUGGCGGCAGGCCUAACACAUGCAAGUCGAACGAGUGGCGGACGGGUGAGUAAUGUCUGGGAAACUGCCUGAUGGAGGGGGAUAACUACUGGAAACGGUAGCUAAUACCGCAUACCAUCGGAUGUGCCCAGAGGGGAUUAGCUAGUGGGUGGGGUAACGGCUCACCUAGGCGACGAUACCUAGCUGGUCUGAGAGGAUGAGCCACCACACUGCAGCUGAGACACGGUCCAGACUCCUACGGAACGCCGCAGUGUGGAAUAUUGCCCAAUGGGCGCAAACCUGCUGCAGCCCUGCCGCGUGUAUGAAGAAGGCCUUCGGGUUGUGAAGUACUUUCAGCGUGGAGGCGUUACCCGCAGAAGAAGCACCGGCUACCUCCGUGCCAGCAGCCGCGGUAAUUC